rnacentral:rRNA from 1 species
CCUACGGGAGGCAGCAGUGGGGAAUAUUGCACAAUGGGGGAAACCCUGAUGCAGCAACGCCGCGUGAGUGAAGAAGUAUUUCGGUAUGUAAAGCUCUAUCAGCAGGGAAGAGAAUGACGGUACCUGACUAAGAAGCCCCGGCUAACUACGUGCCAGCAGCCGCGGUAAUACGUAGGGGGCGAGCGUUAUCCGGCUUUACUGGGUGUAAAGGGAGCGUAGACGGUUCUGCAAGUCUGAGGUGAAAGGCCGGGGCUUAACCGCGGGACGGCAUUGGAAACUGUGGAACUGGAGUGCAGGAGAGGCAAGCGGAAUGCCUAGUGUAGCGGUGAAAUGAGGAGAUAUUAGGAGGAACACCAGUGGCGAAGGCGGCUUGCUGGACAGUAACUGACGUGGAGGCUCGAAAGCGUGGGGAGCAAACAGGAUUAGAUACCCUUGUAGUC